rnacentral:rRNA from 1 species
GUGGGGAAUAUUGGACAAUGGGCGAAAGCCUGAUCCAGCCAUGCCGCGUGUGUGAAGAAGGUCUUCGGAUUGUAAAGCACUUUAAGUUGGGAGGAAGGGCAGUAAGUUAAUACCUUGCUGUUUUGACGUUACCGACAGAAUAAGCACCGGCUAACUUCGUGCCAGCAGCCGCGGUAAUACGAAGGGUGCAAGCGUUAAUCGGAAUUACUGGGCGUAAAGCGCGCGUAGGUGGGUUUGUAAGUUGGAGGUGAAAUCCCCGGGCUCAACCUGGGAACUGACUCCAAAACUGCAUGACUAGAGUACGGUAGAGGGUAGUGGAAUUUCCUGUGUAGCGGUGAAAUGCGUAGAUAUAGGAAGGAACACCAGUGGCGAAGGCGACUACCUGGACUGAUACUGACACUGAGGUGCGAAAGCGUGGGGAGCAAACAGGAUUAGAAACCCUUGUAGUCC